AGUGGGGAAUAUUGCACAAUGGAGGAAACUCUGAUGCAGCAACGCCGCGUGGAGGAUGACGCAUUUCGGUGUGUAAACUCCUUUUAUAUAGGAAGAUAAUGACGGUACUAUAUGAAUAAGCACCGGCUAACUCCGUGCCAGCAGCCGCGGUAAUACGGAGGGUGCAAGCGUUACUCGGAAUCACUGGGCGUAAAGCGCAUGCAGGCGGUUUAUUAAGUUGGAAGUGAAAUCCUAUGGCUCAACCAUAGAACUGCUUCCAAAACUGAUAAACUAGAGUCUGGGAGGGGAAGAUGGAAUUAGUAGUGUAGGGGUAAAAUCCGUAGAGAUUACUAGGAAUACCAAAAGCGAAGGCGAUCUUCUGGAACAGUACUGACGCUGAGAUGCGAAAGCGUGGGGAGCAAACAGGAUUAGAUACCCUGGUAGUCCACGCAGUAAACGAUGAAUGUUAGUCGUUGGGACUCUAGUAGUUUCAGUGAUGCAGUUAACACAUUAAACAUUCCGCCUGGGGAGUACGGUCGCAAGAUUAAAACUCAAAGGAAUAGACGGGGACCCGCACAAGUGGUGGAGCAUGUGGUUUAAUUCGAAGAUACGCGAAGAACCUUACCUAGCCUUGACAUACUACAGAAUUUGACAGAGAUGUUGAAGUGCCUUCGGGAGCUGUAAUACAGGUGCUGCACGGCUGUCGUCAGCUCGUGUCGUGAGAUGUUGGGUUAAGUCCCGCAACGAGCGCAACCCUCGUCCUUAGUUACUAACGGUUCGGCCGAGGACUCUAAGGAGACUGCCUUCGUAAGGAGGAGGAAGGUGAGGACGACGUCAAGUCAUCAUGGCCCUUACGGCUAGGGCAACACACGUGCUACAAUGGUUAGGACAAUGAGAAGCGAUACCGCGAGGUGGAGCAAAUCUAUAAACCUAAUCUCAGUUCGGAUAGCAGUCUGCAACUCGACUGCUUGAAGCUGGAAUCACUAGUAAUCGUAAAUCAGCUAUGUUACGGUGAAUACGU
rnacentral:rRNA from 1 species